rnacentral:rRNA from 1 species
AACGAACGCUGGCGGCAGGCUUAACACAUGCAAGUCGAGCGAGACCUUCGGGUCUAGCGGCGGACGGGUGAGUAACGCGUGGGAACGUGCCCUUCUCUACGGAAUAGCCCCGGGAAACUGGGAGUAAUACCGUAUACGCCCUUUGGGGGAAAGAUUUAUCGGAGAAGGAUCGGCCCGCGUUGGAUUAGGUAGUUGGUGUGGUAAUGGCCCACCAAGCCGACGAUCCAUAGCUGGUUUGAGAGGAUGAUCAGCCACACUGGGACUGAGACACGGCCCAGACUCCUACGGGAGGCAGCAGUGGGGAAUCUUAGACAAUGGGGGCAACCCUGAUCUAGCCAUGCCGCGUGAGUGAUGAAGGCCUUAGGGUUGUAAAGCUCUUUCAGCUGGGAAGAUAAUGACGGUACCAGCAGAAGAAGCCCCGGCUAACUCCGUG